UGAUCGCAUUGUCGUCCAAAAAUCGUGUGUAUAAUGUCGUGUGCAUAGUACUGUAGCCCCCCACCCCACGCCAGCACUGCCGCCCUGCCCGGCGCCGCCGCCGAGCGCGCGCUGAGCUGCGAAUCCUCCUCUCUAUUCGACAUUUCCUCUGACGCCGCCACCUCCCUGCCCCAAUGCACCGCCUCUCAUCUACUUCGCGACUUCCCAUCUCCUCCACGGCAUCUUCCCCGCCUCGCUGGUGGCCUUCAGCGCUUGCCCGACGAGUUAUCCCACUCCUGGCGGCUCCAAAUCCACCAGCCCGUCGUGUUUCCCGAUUUCCUCAUGGAUCUCAGAACCUGGCCACCGUCAGGCGAGUACAAGGCGAUGAGUCUGGUAAACCAUAUAGACGACUGCCCAUCUCGAUCGCUCAAAUGAUGAAAAACAUCAAGACUGACAAUUCAAAAAAAAUGAAAAAUAUUGGGACGAGGGGCACUGCCUCGGUGGUUAUAGAUGAAGAUGGGAGGAAAAGUGAUAAAGAUGCUUUUAGGACAACCUCAGAGGUUAUGGAUGACAAAAGUGAUACAUGGGGCCAAAAUGUGAACUUACCUGGUUCUGAGGAAGACCAAAGUAGCGCAGCCAAGAAUCACAUUACUGGAAUCGCUGUCAGUGAGGAUGAAGGACUCAGUGAUGAUGAAGGAUUUAGUGUGAACGGUAUACUUGCAAAAAGCAGACACCGUGAUGGUUCUAUAUACAGGGGUAUUGAUUUAUUUCAUUGGAAAAAAGAGUAUCGUAUUGCAGACCGUAAUGAGACUCGGUUGGAGCCAAUGACAUUAUCAGAUCCUGCUGCAAAUUGCAAUGUUCACGAUGGAACUUGUACUAGACAUUUUGCUCGUAGCAUGCUACAAAUUUACUCAUUAGAGUUGACUAAAAUUUCUGUGGAUGGCUUAGUAGAAUUGUAUGGAUAUGUAGCAGUGCGGGAUGAUCUGGAUCCGUUGCUUAAUUAUGUUGUCAAUAUUAGCAGGGAUGAUCCCAUCAUCGUGGAGCAGGGUUCUCUCAUCAACAUGAUUGGCCCCAAACGAGGGAUAGAUAUGGCAGAUCAUGCUCUACUUGAAUAUGACAUGAAGAUCAAGUCAGCUGGACAAGAAAAAGAUGACCUACAGCUGAUUGAUGGUGCAUCAUUCAUAGGCCCCUUAGGCUCAUGGGAUCGGCCGUACACAUUUCACAUUGCUGGUGAUUGUGGCUCAGUUGACAUAACUUUGUCACGUCUUUUAGAAGCAGUUGAGGCGACCAUAGAGGUUCUCGUAUUGGAAGUGAAAAGCUGUUUCAGUUUGUCCGUCGGAUGUUUCGCCAGUGGGUUUAAUGCAGAAAUCCGGCUCUUUGAUGGCACCAUCGCUGAUUCACAAGGCCUAAAGAGGUCGGUGGUUGCUGUAAUGGACAAUUCUUUUAUAGAUUUGAAGUUCAAGGUAGGCGCACUGUCAUCCAGUUCCGACCAACAUUGCUGUUCCUUCAAGGUGAAAAUGCAUGGGCAUGAUAUUGAAGAAAUAAAGACUGAUUUUGCAUUAAUCUUAGUGAAGGUGAUUUGGUCGACCUUGCCUAGGGGCUUUUCCGGUUAAGGUUUGUCCGGCCAUGUGUCUGAUGGGCUGGCUCGUGACUAACUUGUGGAGUGUAAUAAUCAAAACUAUUCUGGCAAGUCUUUGCAUACUCAGUCCAGAGGCCAUAGUUUGCUUAUUAUCAAAACACCACACCACAAGCUAGUGCUAUGGUUGGGUCCUUCUGGUGGCGAGACGUCUGUUCAUUGAUGCAUUCUUUCCGUGGAAUUUUGGUCUGCUCUCCUCAUAAUUGUCUAUCAGUGUUGUUUUGGAAAGAUAACUGGUGUGACCCUCUAAUGGCCCAUAAAUUCUCACGCCUGUUUUCACAUGCAAUUAGUCCUUAUGUUUCGUUGGCCGAGCUCUUGGGUUCAAGGGAUUUGCGUGAACCUGCGGUGAACUUUGCUAUUCGCCUAUUCCUCUCUCAGAGCAAGUUUUUGUUGAACUGCAAGAACUGGAGGUGCUUCUCCUGGAGCUCAAUAUGGAUCAGGAGGCUCGUUCUGGUCAGGACCCCAGGGACGGGUAUACUGCAGCUGGCAUCUACAAAGCUCAUGUUUGCCGGUCUGGAGUGUCCAUCUAUUUUCAAGAAAAUAUGGAAACGCAAGUGCAUGCCAAAACUGAAGGUGUUUAUUUGGCUGUUGUUGGUUGAUCGACUCAAUACCCACGACAUGUUGGAUAGAAGACACUGACACAUGGAUUCGGGAUUAAAUUGUCCUUUGUGUGCAAGCAACAGCAGAGAGACCAGAGAGCACCUUUUCUUCAACUGUGCAUUUGCUCGCCGCUCCUGGAGGCAGGUUGGCAUAAAUUGGACCCAAAAUCAUGAUGUGGCUGCCAUGUUCCGCUCGGCUAAACAAUCUUUUACUGGCCCUUGUUUCUUUGAGGUGGCAACUUGUGUUCUGUGGAAUGUGCGGAAACAACGCAACGCUUAUAUAUUUCAGCAUCAGACCCCUUCUUUGGCUACUUGGCGUGUGCUGUUUAAGAGAGAUAUCGGUCUCAUUGGUCAUAGGGUUAAGCCCCAUCUUCAAGCUCUCUGCUUUCUGCUUGGUUGACUACUCCCUCCGUUCCUAAAUGGGAUUCCCCUACUGUUUCAGGUCAAAAUAACAAUAAUGGUACAUAAAUGCAGUUCAUCACUGCAUUGUGAGUGUGAACUGAACAAAAAAAUUGCUGAAGCUUUAACCUCCAACCUGAUGCUGGUAACAUUAUCUUUUUCCAAGAGCUGAAUGAUCAGUGUCAAUUGCACUCUACGGACGAUGUUCGCUGGUGAUUCGUGAAGCUGCUGAGAAAAACAACUCAUGAUAGAAGAAUGAUGGGCAAGUUCAGACAUUUUAUUAAUCAUCAUCAGCUCAAAAAUCUUUACCUGCAAUUGAACUGACUGCCUGCCACCUCCUUGCUAACUGCCCUUUCUCCAUUGUUGUUUGGCGUUUGGUCCUUCUCAGAGCUGGCCUACUAGAAACAAUCCAGCUAACAGCAAAAUGACGCUGAUAGUUCUGUCUGUUCCCGGCACUGGAAUCUGAAGCCUUCGUGAAUCUAGCUAAGAACAAAGUGUCACAUAUGCGCUCAAGUUCAGAGGUUGAUGCCACCUCCCAUUGAUGAAGCUAAACAAGAUUUAUCCUAGUGCAUGAACCUCUCCUUUUGGGUGGCAUGUCAGGACUAAACAAUGAAGCAGAGGGGAUUAGCAUAUAAUGCAAACUUAUUUUUCAAUGUUAAUGACUAAACUUUGAAGCAGAGUACUGAGAAUUAGAAUUUG